UAUUGCAGGCUUACAGAUUGC
rnacentral:misc_RNA from 1 species